rnacentral:rRNA from 1 species
GAUGAACGCUAGCGACAGGCCUAACACAUGCAAGUCGAGGGGCAGCAUAAAGGUAGCAAUACUUUGGUGGCGACCGGCGCACGGGUGAGUAACACGUAUGCAACCUACCUGUAAGUGGGGAAUAACCCGGAGAAAUUCGGACUAACACCGCAUAAUACUGAUUAUCUGCAUGGAUUUAUCAGUUAAAUAUUUAUAGCUUACAGAUGGGCAUGCGUAUGAUUAGCUAGUUGGUAGGGUAACGGCCUACCAAGGCAACGAUCAUUAGGGGUUCUGAGAGGAAGGUCCCCCACAUUGGAACUGAGACACGGUCCAAACUCCUACGGGAGGCAGCAGUGAGGAAUAUUGGUCAAUGGACGAGAGUCUGAACCAGCCAAGUCGCGUGAAGGAAGAAGGUUCUAUGGAUUGUAAACUUCUUUUGUAAGGGAAUAAAAAAGGCCACGUGUGGCUUCUUGUAUGUACUUUACGAAUAAGGAUCGGCUAACUCCGUGCCAGCAGCCGCGGUAAUACGGAGGAUCCGAGCGUUAUCCGGAUUUAUUGGGUUUAAAGGGUGCGUAGGCGGACCUGUAAGUCAGUGGUGAAAGUUUGCAGCUCAACUGUAAAAUUGCCAUUGAAACUAUUGGUCUUGAGUGUAAAUGAGGUAGGCGGAAUGUGUUGUGUAGCGGUGAAAUGCUUAGAUAUAACACAGAACACCAAUUGCGAAGGCAGCUUACUAGGAUACAACUGACGCUGAGGCACGAAAGCGUGGGGAUCAAACAGGAUUAGAUACCCUGGUAGUCCACGCAGUAAACGAUGAAUACUAGCUGUAUGCGAUAUACUGUAUGUGGCAAAGCGAAAGCGUUAAGUAUUCCACCUGGGGAGUACGUUCGCAAGAAUG